GCGGCCUAUCAGCUUGUUGGUGGGGUAAUGGCCUACCAAGGCGACGACGGGUAGCCGGCCUGAGAGGGUGUCCGGCCACACUGGGACUGAGAUACGGCCCAGACUCCUACGGGAGGCAGCAGUGGGGAAUAUUGCACAAUGGGCGCAAGCCUGAUGCAGCGACGCCGCGUGGGGGAUGACGGCCUUCGGGUUGUAAACCUCUUUCAGUAGGGACGAAGCGCAAGUGACGGUACCUACAGAAGAAGCACCGGCCAACUACGUGCCAGCAGCCGCGGUAAUACGUAGGGUGCGAGCGUUGUCCGGAAUUACUGGGCGUAAAGAGCUCGUAGGUGGUUUGUCGCGUUGUUCGUGAAAUCUCACAGCUUAACUGUGAGCGUGCG
rnacentral:rRNA from 1 species